ACAAAGGCCAAAUACUCGCCUGUUCCCUAUGGCCACAGCCCCAUUUCCCGUAUAUAAAUGUAUAGCAAAACAAUCAAUCAAAGAGGCCCAACAGCAAGGAGGCCCAGCAGAUGUAUCCCAUUACCCCUACCCCUGGACCCUGGAAAGGCAAUCAAUCAAGGGGACCCAACAGAUGUAUCCUAUAUACCCCUAGAAAGGAAUUUAAAAAUUCCUUAGGUCAGCAGAAAGUAUGCACGUUAAGUCAUUUGUUACUGGGUAUAAAAAGGCUUGCUCUACGCUUGUAAGGUGUGCUCCUCCCUCUGGCAUAAGUCGAGGGGGACACCCGCUCAGCUGACUGAUCAAUAAAGAACUUGAAGCCGUCUUCUCGACUCCCGUGCCUCCUUGGGGUAAUUGGGCAGCUCCAGGGGGAAACGAGCCCAUUUGGCUAACAAAUGGCGACUCCGCCGGGACUUCUCUCCCUGUAGAGGGCACUGACCGACGGCCGAGGGCGAUUCCGAGGAGUGGCCACCUCGAGCUGUUGCUUUGCUCGGGCCUCGGAUCGUCACAAUCGGCCGGGGCGGCUGUGUCCUCUCUAAAGAGAACUCUGAAGGACACGGAAGCAAGACGGCUUCAGAAGAAGGGGAAGUCUGACUGCCGGACGCGGCCACUUCGGGCGCUGCAUCGACGCGGCGCCAUUCCAGGCUCUCCCCUUGGACCAGACCGUGCAUCCGUUCCGGAUCGGUGACCAGGUCCUUGUCAAGAAGUGGAAACGCGACCCCCUUACGCCAAGGUGGGACGGUCCACACACUGUUUCGCUCAUCAGCCAGGCCGCAGUUAAAAUUCUUGGAAGCGACAAAUGGACACAUCACACCCGGGUAAAGCGGUUUCUGAAUCCUGACCAGGGAACCAAUCCCACGGAAGAGGACACCGGCCCUCUGCCCACCCCGGCCCCGGAAGCCCGGGGUGGCACGGGCGAAGACACCGUCUGGGAGUAUCAAGGACUCGAUGGGCUAAAAGGACUGUUUAGGAAAAAGCAAUAAUGAACUCAUUAUUGAUAUUUCUGUUCAUAGGUGUCUAUCACGGCUAUGGUUGGGAGAAUAGGUUUAUACAACUGGGAGAAAUAAUAGCGAGUUCCUUCAAUCUUAGUAGCUGCUGGGUUUGUGGAGGUCCAGGGGAUUGGAAUGAAUGGCCUUGGGUAGCCCAGCCAGUGCAAGCUAAAUGGUGGAUCAGUAAUUUAAGUAUAGUCCACAAAGGAACAGAAGUUUGGGAUGAGGAUAGUAGCCCUUGGUGACUCUAUUCCUCUGAGAUGGGGAUCCUUUGUCUAAACCGAACAAAACCAGAAGGGGUGUAUGUGGGCCAAAGCCAAUGUGACUGGACCCUAUCUCUAGGAUUUGACUGCUAUGAUCACCCUAGUUGCCAUACGUAUGACUGUUCUAAAUAUCAGGGACGAUGGAACCAAACCCACGUAAAACUCACUAAUCAUAGCUGGGUACAAUGUUCCUACCAACAGCAUACUGGUAAAGGCUGUAAGGCAGUUGGACAAGAUGGGUUCUUUGAUGCCCUCUUUCUAAGUUGCCAGCAAGAUAAUACCGACAGUAAGGAUCAUGUGGUACGCUGGUAUCAGUGGGCAUGGCAACAUUCUAAUGGAACUCGGGUAACCCAUUUUAAUCAUUUUUGGUCUACUACCAAUAGCCCUAAAUUUGGUUGUAAUUGCGCUUGAAAGGAAGGGGCUGGGGCCUGGAAAUGUGACUAUUGUAAUCCUGACGGUACAUCUAUUGUAUUAGGGGGACCCCUGGAGAUGGGUAACUCUUUGUAUUACGAAGAACCGGGCCCCGAGGACUACCCCGAAGCCUGGGAUGGCCCCUUUGCGAAUGGACAAUGGGCCCUAAAAGGCCAUUACUGGAUAUGUGGGCAAUAUGCUUAUCAAAGAUUGCCUCCAAAUUGGUCAGGAAUUUGUUAUGUUGGGUACAUUAGGCCCUUAUUCUUUCUACUACCCCAAAUCCAGGAAAAUAAAUUAGGAAUUAAGGUAUAUGACGACUUGAUUAGGGAGAGGCGGUCCGUUGAUUCCGCAUUGACUGCUGGAAGCUCCCAAAAGUGGGGGGCUCAAAAGUGGCUCCCUGUGUAAUUGCAUUAGUCCAAUAAAUGGCUAAUCAAAUUGUACGCCAACGCAUGAUGGCAUUAUAUCAACCGGUUAAAGUUGAGGAUUGGGGGCCAUAAGGCUCUCAAAAUGCUUUUAAGGGGGGAGAACCUUGUUAGAACAAAGGCCAAAUACUCGCCUGUUCCCUAUGGCCACAGCCCCAUUUCCCGUAUAUAAAUGUAUAGCAAAACAAUCAAUCAAAGAGGCCCAACAGCAAGGAGUCCCAGCAGAUGUAUCCCAUUACCCCUACCCCUGGACCCUGGAAAGGCAAUCAAUCAAGGGGACCCAACAGAUGUAUCCUAUAUACCCCUAGAAAGGAAUUUAAAAAUUCCUUAGGUCAGCAGAAAGUAUGCACGUUAAGUCAUUUGUUACUGGGUAUAAAAAGGCUUGCUCUACGCUUGUAAGGUGUGCUCCUCCCUCUGGCAUAAGUCGAGGGGGACACCCGCUCAGCUGACUGAUCAAUAAAGAACUUGAAGCCGUC